rnacentral:piRNA from 1 species
UUCAUUAAUGAUUCAUAGUUAAUUGGUGUGU